GGGCGACAAAUGUCAAACUCAACAACUGGAUAUCCCUUUGAAUAAGUCAGCUGCUACUGACAAGCCUCAUCUCAUAGUGCCAACGACGGGAACUGGACUCAAUAUCACCUGUGAAGUGGGGACUACCUGUAAAUUACCUGUCUUUUUCACUGGAUCGCUAAAGUAAGCAAAGGGAAAAACAAAUAUUGUGCAUUAAGUGAAAAAAAUACGAUAGGUGAGGAGUGUUAACUUGGAUAUGAAACGGCUGUACUUUGAAUUUUGCUUAGUCUGCUGUCACAUCUCAGGUAAGGAUUGCGUUUUGCCCUUCUCUCAGGUCACCGCGACAGUGACCACAGUUCUACCAACCCCAGGCCUGAGGUCAGACAUGUCAGUUCCACAGCCGGACUCCGGUGCCGGCCCAGCCUCCAGCCUCAAGUCCGUACUAAGCAUCACCCCCAGCCUCGCCGGUCAACACCACGUGUG